AGAGUUUGAUCCUGGCUCAGAACGAACGCUGGCGGCGUGCUUAACACAUGCAAGUCGCGUGCGCAGUUUGCGUAGCAAUACGUGAAUGGGCGCACGGCGUACGGGUGCGUAACGCGUGGGCAACCUGCCCUCCGAUGGGGAAUAACCCCGCGAAAGCGGGCUAAUACCGCAUAACAUUCCUUGGACGAUGUUCGAGGAUUCAAAGCAGUGAUGCGUCGGAGGAGGGGCCCGCGGCCGAUUAGCUAGUUGGUGAGGUAACGGCUCACCAAGGCAAUGAUCGGUAGCUGGUCUGAGAGGAUGAUCAGCCACACUGGAACUGAGACACGGUCCAGACUCCUACGGGAGGCAGCAGUGGGGAAUCUUGCACAAUGGGCGAAAGCCUGAUGCAGCGACGCCGCGUGGGGGAUGAAGCUUUUCGGAGUGUAAACCCCUUUCGACCGGGACGAAUGCCCGCAAGGGAGUGACGGUACCGGUAUAAGAAGCCCCGGCUAACUACGUGCCAGCAGCCGCGGUAAGACGUAGGGGGCCAGCGUUGUUCGGAAUUACUGGGUGUAAAGGGUUCGUAGGCGGUGUGGCAAGUCGGGAGUGAAAUCUCUGGGCUCAACUCAGAGGCUGCUUCCGAAACUGCUGUGCUUGAGUGUGAGAGAGGCUCGUGGAAUUGCAGGUGUAGCGGUGAAAUGCGUAGAUAUCUGCAGGAACACCCGUGGCGAAAGCGGCGAGCUGGAUCACUACUGACGCUGAGGAACGAAAGCUAGGGGAGCAAACAGGAUUAGAUACCCUAGUAGUCC
rnacentral:rRNA from 1 species